AUGCUACAAAAAUAUCACCAGUCCUCUCAAAGCCAUGCUCUUCACUGGCACUGGAAGAAAUUCUGUAAACCAAGACAUGGCUCUUUUAAGAAAACUGGAUGGUGUGUUCAAGAAUCAGUCCUUGGGAAUAUUGUUGGUGAACAUGGCAGAGGUGUUGUCUUCCAGGAAGGGACAAGCAGAGCAGUGCUUCAUCUUACAUCUACCUGUCAUGAGUAAGAUUUUUUUUCCUUUUUUUUUCUCCACCCAUGGCACUUGGAAAUUCCCAGACCAGGGAUCGAAUCUGAGCCACAUCUGCAACCUAUGCCACAGCUGUGGUGAUGCCAGAUCCUUAACCCGCUGUGCCACCGCAGGAACUCCAUGAAUGAGAUUUUUUUUCUUACUUUGUCAAAGCUAUGCUGUUGAUGGAAGAACAUGGGCUCCAGAUUUGUUCACCCACUGAAGAACAAAACCUCCUACAGUCUUUCCUAAGGAGGGUGGAUGGUGGAGUUCCCCAGCUAUCCAAUAUUAAACCCAGCAACUUGGUAAAGAAUGUGGUUUGGCACCAGUCUCCUUUCCUCAUGUGUUGGCAAUGUUAUUUACUUCAAGAUUUAGAUUGCAGUUCAAUCUAAUUCAUUUGUGACCUGACAUUAAACAAAUUGCUUACCCUCUUUAAGGUCCAUGUAUAAGGUCGGGAUCAUAAUGCCUACUUCAUAGAGCUAUUGUAUUAUAAGAAGAUGGUGUGUGGGAGUUUGCUGGUGGCCUAGUAGUUAGGAGUCAUUGCUUUCACUACUGCAGCCUGGGUUUAAUCCCUGGUCUGGGAACUGAGAUCCCAGAUCAAGCCAUUGGAGGCUACAGAAUAGAAGAUGGUAUCUGCAAAGCAGUUGGCAUAGUGUCUGGCAAAUAGUCAGAUUUGUUUUUAUCAGUUAGCAUAGUGUCUGGCAAAUAGUCAGAUUUGUUUUUAUCUCCCCUGCCAUUUUCUUUUAUCUUGACUUAUUUCAGUAACAUUAUAUGUGGAUAUGCUAUGGAUGAUACACCUUUUUUGGAGAAAAUAAAGUCAUUACCUCUUGACA
rnacentral:lncRNA from 1 species